AGGACGAACGCUGGCGGCGUGCUUAACACAUGCAAGUCGAACGGAUUCGUGGCACUUGUGCCUCGGGUUAGUGGCGAACGGGUGAGUAACACGUGAGUAACCUGCCCCAGACUCUGGGAUAACUUCGGGAAAACCGUAGCUAAUACCGGAUAUGACACGGAGAGGCAUCUCUAUCGUGUGGAAAGUUUUUCGGUCUGGGAUGGACUCGCGGCCUAUCAGCUUGUUGGUGAGGUAAUGGCUCACCAAGGCGACGACGGGUAGCCGGCCUGAGAGGGCGAUCGGCCACACUGGGACUGAGACACGGCCCAGACUCCUACGGGAGGCAGCAGUGGGGAAUAUUGCACAAUGGGCGCAAGCCUGAUGCAGCGACGCCGCGUGAGGGAUGACGGCCUUUGGGUUGUAAACCUCUUUCAGCAGGGAGAAGCGCAAGUGACGGUACCUGCAGAAGAAGCACCGGCUAACUACGUGCCAGCAGCCGCGGUAA
rnacentral:rRNA from 1 species